UUCUCUCCUCAUCUCGUUGGAUACCUCCACCAGCUCUCAUCUCGUUCGACCCCCACCAGGCUCAUCCAAAUGCGUCAUUUCUCCUGAUUUGCUGCUGGCGAAGAAAGAUGUCGUUGGUACCAGCAGGAAACUAAUUCCUAGCCUAUUCUCUAGCAUGUGGAUCGAGUCUGCCUGCGCGACCACGGGGAGGGCAAGGGAGAACGUGGCGUGCUGCUCAACCUCAUCAUGGCCGCCGGCGAGCUGUCAUAGCUGAGGUGCUGGAUGUGGGUGGAUGCGUUGAUGGAGCUUACGGAGAAGGCUGCACCAAUUUGUGAAUUUCCCAUGGGAACGCAUGCGACGGAGAAUGGUUGGAUCUAAAGGCACAACGGAUGGCACCGUGGCUAUGGUCCAUGAUAUCUAUGGGGUAAUGUAGGCAAGUCUUACACCGCGGACUGCUCAGCACGGUGGUUCUCUUAUUAGCCCAGGCGCUGGAGAAGAGAUAGUCAGAAUGGCGACAUCGGGCUAAUCUAGCCGUAUGUGGAACACUAGAGAGCAUGCGAUCGGCGUUUAUCAUGUUUUUCUAUUAAUAAGUUUGUGAAGCAAGGUAUAUCUGAGCUGAAUGCUACUUAGCAAAAAAUAGCCGUAAAUUAUAACAAUAUGAAGAAAGUAUUCAAAUUGUUCUGGAUUAAGGACAUCAUGGUAAGAUUCACAUGUUAUCAACUUAUCUUGCUAUAUAGCAUUUGCCAAUGCAAAUAUAUUGCAUUUUGUGGAUUCUGCAACUUUAAAAUUGCUAAAUGCGUAAAUAGUCUGCCCAUUGAUCUUUGAUUAGAAAGUUUCUAUCAAAUUCUUCCAGAUAGUAGUAUGAAUUUUUUAAACUUGGGAAAAUGAUUAAAUAUACUUAGUAAUUGUUGUUUGAAAGAAUAAAACAAUUUGCAACUACAUAUAUAAAGAAUAGACUUGUUCUUUGUCAGGAACUCAUGAUCAUAUCUAGGCAGACAAACUCAUUUGUUGUAGGAUUGAUCGAAUCCAAUUCUCAUUACUUUCACUUGAAUGUUCCAGUUUUGUCCCCUUGUCGAUAAGUCGCUCAACUUCUUGUACUCAGAUCUUUUGCUUCAGAAGGAAUGUACAAAUAGUUAUCAAUGGAUGAAGUUACUCUGAAAUUUUUAUCCAUAAUGAUUGAGCUUACUAAGUACAUAAUAAUUGCCAAACUUGGUGAUUUACGUGAGAUAUAGUUGAGCAGGACUUCGUCCGACGCCAAAUUGCUUGUCCUGUGAAGCAGUUGGGCGUGGCUUUGUUUGGUGUCAACUGUUGAGUUCCAUGUCGUGAUUGCCUCGUCAUAUUGGCUGACUUCAAUUUCUUCGGUGGUGUAUUCAUGAUGUAAUUUUUGGAUGGCAUCUACUCUUUCGGGCGUGAGCAUGGAUUGUUGGUUGGAGAUGUUUAUAUGGGUUGUUGUGGCUGACACCAUUGGAGUUCUAAUCAGAUCUGUAAUUUGCAUGCAUAUGUGUGUUUAGAUAUCUGAGCAAGUGAGGUGCGCGUCUUGUUUGAUUGGGUAUGCAUG